rnacentral:tRNA from 1 species
GAUAGGAUGGCUGAUAAAAGUUGUAAAUUGUAAAUUUAUUCAUGGUUAGUAAACCUUCUAUCA